rnacentral:tRNA from 1 species
GCGUGAGUCGCGCGGGGAUGACAACUCUGUUCCCAAGCUGACAGUGCGAGUUCGAUUCUCGUCACCCGCUCCA